rnacentral:rRNA from 1 species
UACGUAGGGUGCAAGCGUUGUCCGGAAUUAUUGGGCGUAAAGAGCUCGUAGGCGGUCUGUCGCGUCGGAUGUGAAAAUCCAGGGCUCAACCCUGGACCUGCAUUCGAUACGGGCAGACUAGAGUUCGGCAGGGGAGACUGGAAUUCCUGGUGUAGCGGUGAAAUGCGCAGAUAUCAGGAGGAGCGCGGUGGAAGGCGGGUCUCUGGGCCGGAUACUGACGCUGAGGAGCGAAAGCGUGGGGAGCGAACAGG